rnacentral:rRNA from 1 species
UACGUAGGGUGCGAGCGUUAAUCGGAAUUACUGGGCGUAAAGCGUGCGCAGGCGGUUUGCUAAGAGAGAUGUGAAAUCCCCGGGCUUAACCUGGGAACUGCGUUUCUAACUGGCAGGCUUGAGUGUGGCAGAGGGGGGUGGAAUUCCACGUGUAGCAGUGAAAUGCGUAGAUAUCUGGAGGAACACCGGUGGCGAAGGCGGCAUCCUGGACCGGCAUUGACGCUGAGGAGCGAAAGCCAGGGGAGCAAACGGG